rnacentral:rRNA from 1 species
GGAUCAUUACACAAAUAUGAAGGCGGGCUGGAACCUCUCGGGGUUACAGCCUUGCUGAAUUAUUCACCCUUGUCUUUUGCGUACUUCUUGUUUCCUUGGUGGGUUCGCCCACCACUAGGACAAACAUAAACCUUUUGUAAUUGCAAUCAGCGUCAGUAACAAAUUAAUAAUUACAACUUUCAACAACGGAUCUCUUGGUUCUGGCAUCGAUGAAGAACGCAGCGAAAUGCGAUAAGUAGUGUGAAUUGCAGAAUUCAGUGAAUCAUCGAAUCUUUGAACGCACAUUGCGCCCUUUGGUAUUCCAAAGGGCAUGCCUGUUCGAGCGUCAUUUGUACCCUCAAGCUUUGCUUGGUGUUGGGCGUCUUGUCUCUAGCUUUGCUGGAGACUCGCCUUAAAGUAAUUGGCAGCCGGCCUACUGGUUUCGGAGCGCAGCACAAGUCGCACUCUCUAUCAGCAAAGGUCUAGCAUCCAUUAAGCCUUUUUUCAACUUUUGACCUCGGAUCAGGUAGGGAUACCCGCUGAACUUAAGCAUAU